CGUAGGUAACCUGCCUGGUAGCGGGGGAUAACUAUUGAAACGAUAGCUAAUACCGCAUAAGAGUAGAUGUUGCAUGACAUUUGCUUAAAAGGUGCAAUUGCAUCACUACCAGAUGGACCUGCGUUGUAUUAGCUAGUCGGUGGGGUAACGGCUCACCAAGGCGACGAUACAUAGCCGACCUGAGAGGGUGAUCGGCCACACUGGGACUGAGACACGGCCCAG
rnacentral:rRNA from 1 species